CUGUCCCUGCGCUGUUGGUGAUGCCGGAGGGAAGUUUCAACCUCGUUUACACAUCGGGUGUCGAACCGAGAGUGGUGUGCAAGCCCCUCUUCGAAGGGGAAGCCUGAAGCUCUCCAUCAAAGACGCCCACCUGGUCAUACCAGGUUCGAAACACCCCGGCACACGGCAGAGGCGGGGACUUU
rnacentral:other from 1 species